GUGCCAGCAGCCGCGGUAAUUCCAGCUCCAAUAGCGUAUAUUAAAGUUGUUGUGGUUAAAAAGCUCGUAGUUGAACCUUGGGCCUGGCUGGCCGGUCCGCCUCACCGCGUGCACUGGUCCGGCCGGGCCUUUCCCUCUGUGGAACCCCAUACCCUUCACUGGGCGUGGCGGGGAAACAGGACAUUUACUUUGAAAAAAUUAGAGUGCUCCAGGCAGGCCUAUGCUCGAAUACAUUAGCAUGGAAUAAUAAAAUAGGACGCGCGGUUCUAUUUUGUUGGUUUAUAGGACCGCCGUAAUGAUUAAUAGGGACAGUCGGGGGCAUCAGUAUUCAACUGUCAGAGGUGAAAUUCUCGGAUCAGUUGAAGACUAACUACUGCGAAAGCAUUUGCCAAGGAUGUUUUCAUUAAUCAGGAACGAAAGUUAGGGGAUCGAAGACGAUCAGAUACCGUCGUAGUCUUAACCAUAAACUAUGCCGACUAGGGAUCGGACGGUGUUAUUCAUGACCCGUUCGGCACCUUACGGGAAAUCAAAGUGCUUGGGCUCCAGGGGGAGUAUGGUCGCAAGGCUGAAACUUAAAGAAAUUGACGGAAGGGCACCACCAGGGGUGGAGCCUGCGGCUUAAUUUGACUCAACACGGGGAAACUCACCAGGUCCAGACACAAUAAGGAUUGACAGAUUGAGAGCUCUUUCUUGAUUUUGUGGGUGGUGAUGCAUGACCGUUCUUAGUUGGUGGGGUGACUUGUCUGCUUAAUUGCGAUAACGAACGAGACCUUAACCUGCUAAAUAGCCCGCAUGCUCCGGCAGUGCGCUGCUCUAGAGGACUUUCGCUCAAGCGACGAAGUUGAGGCAAUAACAGGUCUGUGAUGCCUUUAGAUGUUCUGGGGCGGCACGGCGGCUUACCACUUGAACG
rnacentral:rRNA from 1 species